rnacentral:lncRNA from 1 species
AUUGGGAGGAGCUCUCUGCUGCCCCAGGAAUGGGCUGAUUUCCUGAGUACACAUUAAUCUGAGCUCCCUCAGCCCUAGGGGUAGGGGGAUUGGGGGCACAAGAUGGGUGGAGCCAGAUAGGGAAGAUUCCCCCAGUGUUGUCCUGCUCCCAGUCCAGGUUUGGGACAAUGCCGGCAGCGUUUCCCUGUGUCUUUCCCCCACAAAGUCUCCAAGUCUUUCCUCAAAUGAUCGUCAAGGUUUGGGAGAAACAAUCUCUUCCUCUGCCCGGGUUGCGUGGAUCUCCAGUGGAAAGGCUUUAUCUACCAAGAAAUGAAUUGGAUAAUCCACAUAAACAAAAAGCUUGGAAAAUUUAUCCACCAGAAUUUGCCGUGGAGAUACUUUUUGGUAUGGUUUCUGUGGAUUCUCUGCUCUUUGUGCUCUCCUCCCCACAUUGGUGGCUCCAUCUGGCACAGGGAAGCUUCUGGAUGUCAGAAGGUGGAUUCUCACUCUGUCACCCAGGCUGGAGUGUAGUGGCACAAUCUUUGCUCACUUCAACCUCUGCCUUCUGCGUUCGAGCAAUUCUCCUGCCUCAGCCUCCCGAGUAACUGGGAUUACAGGCAUGUACCACCACAUCUGGCUAAUUUUUGUAUUUUUAGUAGAGACGAGGUUUCACCAUAUUGGCCAGGCUGGUCUUGAACUCCUGACCUCAAGUGGUCCACCUGCCUCGGCCUUCCAAAGUGCUGAGAUUACAGGCUUGAGCAACCUUGCCCAGCCAAAAGUAAACUUUUUAAUUCUAUCACAAUAUGUUCUAGAUCUUUGACAGACUGAAAGACAUAAAAUGUCAAAUGGUGA